rnacentral:misc_RNA from 1 species
UUUCUUCCAAACCAGAGCCGAAGAAAAAGGCCAAAAAGAGGACAUGGGUAUAGUGGAAGAAGCUCAUAAUGUGAAAGUCCUGGGCACAGGAGAGCAGGUGCUAGUUCUGGCUCAUGGAUUUGGCACCGAUCAAUCUGUUUGGAAGCACCUUGUCCCUCAUCUUCUUGACGAUUUCAAAGUCAUUUUGUAUGAUAAUAUGGGUGCUGGUACUACAAAUCCUGAUUACUUCGAUUUUGAUAGAUAUUCCAGUCUCGAAGGCUAUGCUUAUGAUUUGCUUGCCAUUUUGGAGGAAUUUCAAGUCGAAUCUUGUAUUUUAGUUGGUCACUCUGUUUCUGGUAUGAUUGGCGCUAUUGCCUCCCUUAGCCGCCCAGAUCUCUUCUCCAAAAUCGUUAUGAUCUCUGCUUCUCCAAGGUAUUUGAAUGAUGUGGACUAUUAUGGAGGAUUUGAGCAAGACGAUCUAAACCAACUAUUUGAAGCAAUGCAAUCCAAUUACAAGGCAUGGUGCUCAGGGUUCGCACCCCUAGCCGUGGGUGGAGACAUGGACUCGGUGGCAGUUCAAGAAUUUAGCCGC